AGAGUUUGAUUCUGGCUCAGAUUGAACGCUGGCGGCAGGCCUAACACAUGCAAGUCGAGCGGUAGAGAGAAGCUUGCUUCUCUUGAGAGCGGCGGACGGGUGAGUAAUGCCUAGGAAUCUGCCUGGUAGUGGGGGAUAACGUUCGGAAACGGACGCUAAUACCGCAUACGUCCUACGGGAGAAAGCAGGGGACCUUCGGGCCUUGCGCUAUCAGAUGAGCCUAGGUCGGAUUAGCUAGUUGGUGGGGUAAUGGCUCACCAAGGCGACGAUCCGUAACUGGUCUGAGAGGAUGAUCAGUCACACUGGAACUGAGACACGGUCCAGACUCCUACGGGAGGCAGCAGUGGGGAAUAUUGGACAAUGGGCGAAAGCCUGAUCCAGCCAUGCCGCGUGUGUGAAGAAGGUCUUCGGAUUGUAAAGCACUUUAAGUUGGGAGGAAGGGCAGUAAAUUAAUACUUUGCUGUUUUGACGUUACCGACAGAAUAAGCACCGGCUAACUCUGUGCCAGCAGCCGCGGUAAUA
rnacentral:rRNA from 1 species